GACGAACGCUUGCGGCGUGCUUAACACAUGCAAGUCGAACGGAAAGGCCCUGCUUUUGUGGGGUGCUCGAGUGGCGAACGGGUGAGUAACACGUGAGUAACCUGCCCUUGACUUUGGGAUAACUUCAGGAAACUGGGGCUAAUACCGGAUAGGAGCUCCUGCUGCAUGGUGGGGGUUGGAAAGUUUCGGCGGUUGGGGAUGGACUCGCGGCUUAUCAGCUUGUUGGUGGGGUAGUGGCUUACCAAGGCUUUGACGGGUAGCCGGCCUGAGAGGGUGACCGGCCACAUUGGGACUGAGAUACGGCCCAGACUCCUACGGGAGGCAGCAGUGGGGAAUAUUGCACAAUGGGCGGAAGCCUGAUGCAGCAACGCCGCGUGCGGGAUGACGGCCUUCGGGUUGUAAACCGCUUUCGCCUGUGACGAAGCGUGAGUGACGGUAAUGGGUAAAGAAGCACCGGCUAACUACGUGCCAGCAGCCGCGGUGAUACGUAGGGUGCGAGCGUUGUCCGGAUUUAUUGGGCGUAAAGGGCUCGUAGGUGGUUGAUCGCGUCGGAAGUGUAAUCUUGGGGCUUAACCCUGAGCGUGCUUUCGAUACGGGUUGACUUGAGGAAGGUAGGGGAGAAUGGAAUUCCUGGUGGAGCGGUGGAAUGCGCAGAUAUCAGGAGGAACACCAGUGGCGAAGGCGGUUCUCUGGGCCUUUCCUGACGCUGAGGAGCGGAAGCGUGGGGAGCGAACAGGCUUAGAUACCCUGGUAGUCCACGCUGUAAACGGUGGGUACUAGGUGUGGGGUCCAUUCCACGGGUUCCGUGCCGUAGCUAACGCUUUAAGUACCCCGCCUGGGGAGUACGGCCGCAAGGCUAAAACUCAAAGGAAUUGACGGGGCCCCGCACAAGCGGCGGAGCAUGCGGAUUAAUUCGAUGCAACGCGUAGAACCUUACCUGGGUUUGACAUGGAUCGGGAGUGCUCAGAGAUGGGUGUGCCUCCUUUGGGGUCGGUUCACAGGUGGUGCAUGGCUGUCGUCAGCUCGUGUCGUGAGAUGUUGGGUUAAGUCCCGCAACGAGCGCAACCCUUGUUCACUGUUGCCAGCACGUUAUGGUGGGGACUCAGUGGAGACCGCCGGGGUCAACUCGGAGGAAGGUGGGGAUGACGUCAAGUCAUCAUGCCCCUUAUGUCCAGGGCUUCACGCAUGCUACAAUGGCUGGUACAGAGAGUGGCGAGCCUGUGAGGGUGAGCGAAUCUCGGAAAGCCGGUCUCAGUUCGGAUUGGGGUCUGCAACUCGACCUCAUGAAGUCGGAGUCGCUAGUAAUCGCAGAUCAGCAACGCUGCGGUGAAUACGUUCCCGGGGCU
rnacentral:rRNA from 1 species